GACGAACGCUGGCGGCGUGCUUAACACAUGCAAGUCGAACGGAGUGGCGAACGGGUGAGUAACACGUGGGUGACCUGCCCUGCACUUCGGGAUAAGCCUGGGAAACUGGGUUUAAUACCGGAUAGGGCGGGAUGGGCCCGCGGCCUAUCAGCUUGUUGGUGGGGUAAUGGCCUCCCAAGGCGGCGACGGGUAGCCGGCCUGAGGGGGUGGACGGCCACCAUGAGACUGAGACACGGCCCAGACGCCAACGGGAGGCAGCAGUGGGGAAGCUUGCACAAUGGGCGGAGGCGUGAUGCGGCGACGCCGCGUGGGGGAUGACGGCCUUCGGGUUGUAAACGCCUUUCACCAUCGACGCGGUAGAUGGAGAAGAAGCACCGGCUAACUACGUGCCAGCAGCCGCGGUAAUUC
rnacentral:rRNA from 1 species